UACGAAGGGGCUAGCGUUGCUCGGAAUCACUGGGCGUAAAGCGCACGUAGGCGGAUUGCUAAGUCAGGGGUGAAAUCCUGGAGCUCAACUCCAGAACUGCCUUUGAUACUGGCGACCUUGAGUCCGGGAGAGGUGAGUGGAACUGCGAGUGUAGAGGUGAAAUUCGUAGAUAUUCGCAAGAACACCAGUGGCGAAGGCGGCUCACUGGCCCGGUACUGACGCUGAGGUGCGAAAGCGUGGGGAGCAACAGGG
rnacentral:rRNA from 1 species